rnacentral:rRNA from 1 species
CAGCCGCCGCGGUAAUACGAAGGGGGCUAGCGUUGUUCGGAUUUACUGGGCGUAAAGCGCACGUAGGCGGAUCGAUCAGUCAGGGGUGAAAUCCCAGAGCUCAACUCUGGAACUGCCUUUGAUACUGUCGAUCUGGAGUAUGGAAGAGGUGAGUGGAAUUCCGAGUGUAGAGGUGAAAUUCGUAGAUAUUCGGAGGAACACCAGUGGCGAAGGCGGCUCACUGGUCCAUUACUGACGCUGAGGUGCGAAAGCGUGGGGAACAAACAGGAUUAGAUACCCCCGUAGUCCCUGUCUCUUAUAC